AGAGUUUGAUCAUGGCUCAGAUUGAACGCUGGCGGAAUGCUUUACACAUGCAAGUCGAACGGCAGCACGGGGGCAACCCUGGUGGCGAGUGGCGAACGGGUGAGUAAUACAUCGGAACGUGCCCAGUCGUGGGGGAUAACGUAGCGAAAGCUACGCUAAUACCGCAUACGAUCUACGGAUGAAAGCGGGGGAUCGCAAGACCUCGCGCGAUUGGAGCGGCCGAUGGCAGAUUAGGUAGUUGGUGGGGUAAAGGCUCACCAAGCCGACGAUCUGUAGCUGGUCUGAGAGGACGACCAGCCACACUGGGACUGAGACACGGCCCAGACUCCUACGGGAGGCAGCAGUGGGGAAUUUUGGACAAUGGGCGCAAGCCUGAUCCAGCCAUUCCGCGUGCAGGAUGAAGGCCCUCGGGUUGUAAACUGCUUUUGUACGGAACGAAACGGUGCCAGCUAAUACCUGGCGCUAAUGACGGUACCGUAAGAAUAAGCACCGGCUAACUACGUGCCAGCAGCCGCGGUAAUACGUAGGGUGCAAGCGUUAAUCGGAAUUACUGGGCGUAAAGCGUGCGCAGGCGGUUGUGUAAGACAGGUGUGAAAUCCCCGGGCUUAACCUGGGAACUGCAUUUGUGACUGCACAGCUAGAGUACGGUAGAGGGGGAUGGAAUUCCGCGUGUAGCAGUGAAAUGCGUAGAUAUGCGGAG
rnacentral:rRNA from 1 species